rnacentral:lncRNA from 14 species
GAGUCCUGUCCCAGUUUCGGGGUUCCCCCCAACCCCGUGUCCCCCCACCCCAGUUUCGGGGUCCCCCCCAACCCCGUGUCCCCCCCGUUGCAGAGUCCCGGCCGAACGGCGAGGCGGGCCGCGCGGCGCUGGCGCAGGAGGAUUGCCCCCCCAUCGACCAGCCCCUGUCCCCCGAGGAGCGCGGCGCGGGCGGCGCCCCCCAGAGCGCGCCCGGGGGCGGCCGCGAGCGCUGCGGCCGGGACCGAGCGUGCUUCCUGCUGGGGCCCGACUACGCGCCGCCCCCCGAGGGACCCCUGCGCAAAGCGCUCGUCACCGCCUGAGACCCCCGACGUUGCCGCAGGCUACGAGAAGUCGCGGAGCCUCAACAGCAUCACGGGGGUGCGGGUGGCCCCCGCCGCCCCCCCUUCAGCUCCCCCAGCCCCCCCCGGCGCCCCCGCUCCCCAAUCCCCUCCAUCCUCUGAGGGGGGGCGGGGCAGCCCCUCCCCCCACCCCGCACCCCCUUUUCCUGCCUUCCCCCUUCCCCCCAAAAAAUGGGGAAAAAAACUCAUCAGUGGCAAUGGGGGGAGGGGGCACCCCGGCAUGGAGGGGGGGGGUGAUUUUGGGGACACCCCACCCCCCCCACUCCCCUAAAAAGGAGGGGUGCCCCCCUAAGAGACUGUGAAAGGGGGUGACGAGGGGAGCCCCCCGCCCCGGUGUCACCCCAAAGGCUGCACUGCACUUUCUGGACUGGGUGUCCCCCGUCCCCCAGAUUUGGGGUCCCUCCAAGCUCGCCCCGGUUUCGCGGGGGUUUGGGCGUCCUUGUCGUUCCCCCCACCCCGUGUGUCCCCCCCCCCCCACUCCAUGAUCACUCAGGACUUGGGGAGCCCCCCCUAAAUUGGUGUCACCUCACCUCGUGUGCCCCUUCUGUGUGUGUCCCUGAUGUCCGUCCGUCCGUCCGUCCCCCCCGUGUGUGUCCCCCCUCGUGGGCUCCCCACACCCCCCCAAGCAAUAACUGGAGCCGCCGGACGCGCCGAUGGCGGAGGACGACGGCGGAGGUAGGGCCCUGCCCGGGUGUCCCCCCUGUCCCCCUGUGGUGGCAGCGUCACCCCAAGAUGGGGGGAGAAGGGGGGAAACCGGGCCCACUAGGAGUUCAGGCUGCGUUUCCAUGGUAAUGGGACUAGGCCUGGCUCCUCACUGCAAUGGCAGGCUGCGUUUCCAUGGUAACGGGACUAGGCCUGAGCUCUACUGCUAGGCCAGGCUGCGUUUCCAUGGUAACGGGACUAGGCCUCAGCUCUACUGUGAAGGCAGGCUGCGUUUCCAUGGUAACGGGACUAGGCCUGAUCUCUACUGUGAAUCCAGGCUGUGUUUCCAUGGUAACGGGACUAGGCCUGGCUCUUCACUGCAAUGGCAGGCUGUGUUUCCAUGGUAACGGGACUAGGCCUCAGCUCUAUUGCUAGGCCAGGCUGUGCGUUUCCAUGGUAACAGGAUCAGGCCUGAGCUCUGCUGCGAGGCCAGGCUGUGUUUGCAUGGUAAUGAGACAAGGCCUGAGCUCUGCUGUUAGUCCAGGCUUUGUCUCCAUGGUAACAGGACUAGGCCUCAGCUCUGCUGUUAGUCCAGGCUUUGUCUCCAUGGUAACAGGACUAGGCUAAAGCCACCCUGCAUUUCCAUGGUAACAGGACAAGGCCUGAGGUCUGUUAGUCCAGGCUGUGUUUCCAUGGUAAUGGGACUAGGCCUCAGCUCUGCUGUUAGUCCAGGCUUUGUCUCCAUGGUAACAGGACUAGGCUAAAGCCACCCUGCGUUUCCAUGGUAGCAGGACUAGGCCUGAGUCCUUACUGCGAGAGCAGGCUGUGUUUCCAUGGUUACAAGAUCAAGCCUGAGUCCUCACUACAGUCCCAGGCUGUGUUUCCAUGGUGACUGGACUAGGCCUGAGCAGUAUUCUGACAUCAGGCCGUGUUUCCAUGGUAACAGAGCUAGGCUAGGUACUGCUGCAAGGCCGGGCUACAUUUCCCUGAUAACAGGACAGGGCCUGAACCAUCACCAUGAGAUCAGGCUGUUUCCAUGGUAACAGGACUAGGUCAAGCCCUACUGUGAAGACAGGCUGUGUUUCCAUGGUAAUGGGACUAGGCCUGAGCUCUACUGUGAGUACAGGCUGCGUUUCCAUGGUAACGGGACUAGGCCUCAGCUCUACUGUGAGUACAGGCUGCGUUUCCAUGGUAACAGGACUAGGCCAGAGCCCUCACUGCAAGGCCAGGCUGCAUUUCCAUGGUAACGAGACUAGGCCUGGCUGUUCACUGCAAUGGCAGGCUGCGUUUCCAUGGUAACUGGACUAGGCCUGAGCCGUCACUGUGAGGCCAGGCUGUGUUUCCAUGGUAACAGGAGCAGGCCUGAGCUCUCUUGCAAGGCCAGGCUGCGUUUCCAUGGUAACAGGAGCAGGCCUGAGCUUUAUUACAAGGCCAGGCUGCGUUUCCAUGGUAACGGGACUAGGCUUGAGCCCUCGCUGUGAGGCCAGGCUGCGUUUCCAUGGUAACAGGAGCAGGCCUGAGCCCUCACUU